CCGACCGAGACGAAGCCGGCACAAAAGGGUCCCAGAAAUCCCACGUGGACGACGGCGGCGGCGGCGGCGGCGGCAUGGCUGUGGAGGUCCACGUGGUCUCGGAGCUUGGGCUCCGCGGAGGAGGCGGAGGCGGUUGAAGCGGAGUCUGUGGGGUUUGAGGCGGCGGCGGCGAGUGGUGGGUGUGGUUGUUGAGGUGGUGGGACUGGUGUUGGGUUGGGUGGGUGGGGUGGUGUUGGUGGUGGAGGGUAGUUUCGGCAUUUGAAAAUUGGAGCAGAGCAGCACGGGGAAGAGG
rnacentral:lncRNA from 1 species